rnacentral:rRNA from 1 species
GCCUACGGGGGGCAGCGGUAGGGAAUCUUCCACAAUGGGCGAAAGCCUGAUGGAGCAACGCCGCGUGGGUGAAGAAGGUCUUCGGAUCGUAAAACCCUGUUGUUAGAGAAGAAAGUGCGUGAGAGUAACUGUUCACGUUUCGACGGUAUCUAACCAGAAAGCCACGGCUAACUACGUGCCAGCAGCCGCGGUAAUACGUAGGUGGCAAGCGUUAUCCGGAUUUAUUGGGCGUAAAGGGAACGCAGGCGGUCUUUUAAGUCUGAUGUGAAAGCCUUCGGCUUAACCGGAGUAGUGCAUAGGAAACU